rnacentral:rRNA from 1 species
UGGCGGGACGGGGUGGAGUAAUGUCUGGGAAACUGCCCGAUGGAGGGGGAUAACUACUGGAAACGGUAGCUAAUACCGCAUAACGUCGCAAGACCAAAGAGGGGGACCUUAGGGCCUCUUGCCAUCGGAUGUGCCCAGAUGGGAUUAGCUAGUAGGUGGGGUAACGGCUCACCUAGGCGACGAUCCCUAGCUGGUCUGAGAGGAUGACCAGCCACACUGGAACUGAGACACGGUCCAG